AGAACGAACGCUGGCGGCGCGUCUUAAACAUGCAAGUCGAACGAGAAGCCCAGUGCUUGCACAGGGUGGACAGUGGCGAACGGGUGAGUAACACGUGAGUAAUCUACCUCUGAGUUCGGGACAACACCGGGAAACGGGUGCUAAUACCGGAUACGAGGCAACUUGAAAGGUGGGGACCUUCGGGCCUACUGCUUGGAGAUGAGCUCGCGUCCCAUUAGCUAGUUGGUGGGGUAACAGCCUACCAAGGCGACGAUGGGUAGCCGGCCUGAGAGGGUGAUCGGCCACAUUGGGACUGAGAUACGGCCCAGACUCCUACGGGAGGCAGCAGUUAAGAAUAUUGGACAAUGGACGCAAGUUUGAUCCAGCGACGCCGCGUGAACGAAGAAGGCCUUCGGGUCGUAAAGUUUAAUAGACAGGGAAGAAUAAGCUUGAGGUAAUAUUUCAAGUGAUGACGGUACCUGUUGAAAGCCUCGGCUAAAUACGUGCCAGCAGCCGCGGUAAUACGUAUGAGGCAAGCGUUGUUCGGAAUUAUUGGGCAUAAAGGGCAUCUAGGCGGGAUAUUAAGUCGGGUGUGAAAGCCCGGGGCUCAACCCCGGAACUGCACUCGAUACUGGUAUUCUUGAGUCAGGGAGAGGAAGGCGGAAUUCCUGGUGUAGCGGUGAAAUGCGUAGAUAUCAGGAAGAACACCGGUGGCGAAGGCGGCCUUCUGGCCUAUGACUGACGCUGAAGUGCGAAAGUGUGGGUAGCGAACGGGAUUAGAUACCCCGGUAGUCCACACCGUAAACGUUGUACACUAGGUGUUAGCGCGUCAAGCGCUCGUGCCGUCGCGAAUGCAUUAAGUGUACCGNCUGGGGAGUACGCCCGCAAGGGUGAAACUCANAGAAAUUGACGGGGGCCCGCACAAGCGGUGGAGCAUGUGGNUUACUUCGAUGAUACGCGAAGAACCUUACCUGGGCUUGAACUUAUAUGGAUCGGUGUAGAGGUACCUUUUUUCUUCGGAAACUGGUUGAGAGGUGCUGCCUGGUUGUCGU
rnacentral:rRNA from 1 species